UAUUCUUAAUUCAUUCUUAAAUUUAGUUUAUUUCUUUCAUUUGUCAUGAACUUUCUAUGUAAUAGAUUUAAUUAGGAUUUUUUUUUUAUUUCUUUCUUUUUAGUUUAAUUAGGUUUUAUUUUUUUGUAUGCCCUUUUAAUUUUGUACUCGUUAAUUAAGAUUUAGAUAUUUUAUAUCCCCUUUUAAAUUAUGUACCCCCAUCCCGAAGCCAUGUAAUAGCG
rnacentral:lncRNA from 1 species